AAAUUGAAGAGUUUGAUCAUGGCUCAGAUUGAACGCUGGCGGCAGGCCUAACACAUGCAAGUCGAACGGUAACAGGAAACAGCUUGCUGUUUCGCUGACGAGUGGCGGACGGGUGAGUAAUGUCUGGGAAGCUGCCUGAUGGAGGGGGAUAACUACUGGAAACGGUAGCUAAUACCGCAUAACGUCGCAAGACCAAAGAGGGGGACCUUCGGGCCUCUUGCCAUCGGAUGUGCCCAGAUGGGAUUAGCUAGUAGGUGGGGUAACGGCUCACC
rnacentral:rRNA from 1 species